rnacentral:antisense_RNA from 1 species
AUUCAUAGUAAGGAAAAAAAAGACAAGGGGAAAGCUAUUAGAUUCUCGGUGCUGCUAAACAGGACACACAAGGACACCAUUUUGUGAUGAUCAUGGUGCUUUAUGCAGCUUCCACCAUUUACAAGAUUUUCCUGUGGUGUGGAACCUCUGAUGAUAAAGCAAAGGAACUAGAAGCUUAUUCCAGUCAAGAUUUCUGAUUUAUCUUGUGGGUUAUGAUUCUGUAUGGUUUCUUUGGUGCUGCAUUAGACCUGAGCUCUGAUUGAAAAUUCUUCCACGCUCGCUACAUUCCAAAACUUUAUCUCCAAUAUGAAUUUCCAGAUGCCUCACAAGGUCUGAGCUCCAUCUGAAGGCUUUCCCAUGCUUGUCACAUUCAUAGGGCUUUUCUCCACUAUGAAUUCUAUGAUGUCGAAUAAAGUGUGAGCUCUGA